AGUGAAUAGAUACCCGGGUAGUCCCAGCUGUAAACGAUGCGCGUUAGGUGUAUCGGUGACCACGAGUCACCGAGGUGCCGAAAGGGAAACCGUGAAACGUGCCGCCUGGGAAGUACGGUCGCAAGGCUGAAACUUAAAGGAAUUGGCGGGGGAGCACCACAACAGGUGGAGCCUGCGGUUUAAAUCGGACUCAACGCCGGGAAGCUCACCGGAUAAGACAGCUGAAUGAUAGCCGGGUUGAAGACUCUGCUUGACUAGCUGAGAGGAGGUGCAUGGCCGUCGUCAGUUCGUACUGUGAAGCAUCCUGCUAAGUCAGGCAACGAGCGAGACCCACGCCAACAGUUGCCAGCAUGUCCUCCGGGGAUGGUGGGGACACUGUUGGGACCGCCUCUGCUAAAGAGGAGGAAGGAAUGGGCAACGGUAGGUCAGCAUGCCCCGAAUUAUCCGGGCUACACGCGGGCUACAAUGGUCAGGACAAUGGGUAUCAACACCGAAAAGUGAAGGCAAUCUCCUAAACCUGUCCUUAGUUCGGAUUGUGGG
rnacentral:rRNA from 1 species